GACGAACGCUGGCGGCGUGCCUAAUACAUGCAAGUCGAACGAAGCUGUUUUAACUGGUGCUUGCACCGACUUAAACAACUGAGUGGCGAACGGGUGAGUAACACGUGGGUAACCUGCCCCAAAGCGGGGGAUAACAUUUGGAAACAGAUGCUAAUACCGCAUAACCACAGAAACCACAUGGUUUCUGUGUCAAAGAUGGUUUCGGCUAUCACUUUGGGAUGGACCCGCGGCGUAUUAGCUAGUUGGUAAGGUAAUGGCUUACCAAGGCAAUGAUCCGGAGCGAAACUGAGGGUUUGAUCGGCCACAUUGGGACUGAGCCACGGCCCAAACUCCAACGGGAGGAAGAAGUGGGGAAUCUUCAAAAAGGGAAGAAGGUCUGAUGGAGCAACGCCGCGUGAGGGAAGAAGGUUUUCGGAUCGAAAACCUCUGUUGUCAGAGAAGAACGUGUGCGAGAGUACCUGCUCGUGCAGUGACGGUAUCUGGCCAGAAAGCCACGGCUAACUACGUGCCAGCCGCCGCGGUAA
rnacentral:rRNA from 1 species